AGAUCAUUGUGGGGGCAAUUCCUCAACAAGCCCUUGUACCUUUCCCACGCCUCAUAAAGUGACUCUCCUGGUUGUUGUUCAAAGUUUGCAAUGGCUUUCUUCAAUUU